rnacentral:rRNA from 1 species
AGCAGCCGCGGUAAUUCCAGCUCCAAUAGCGUAUAUUAAAGUUGUUGCAGUUAAAAAGCUCGUAGUUGAAUUUCGGGGUUAGUAGGUUGGUCAUGCCUCUGGUAUGUACUGGUCUCACUGAUUCCUCCUUCCUGAUGAGCCGUAAUGCCAUUAAUUUGGUGUUGCGGGGAAUUUGGACUGUUACUUUGAAAAAUUGAGUGUUUAAAGCAAGCUAACGCUUGAAUACAUUAGCAUGGAAUAAUGAAAUAGGACGUUCGAUCCUAUUUUGUUGGUUUCUAGGAUUGACGUAAUGAUUAAUAGGGAUAGUUGGGGGCAUUAGUAUUCAAUUGUCAGAGGUGAAAUUCUUGGAUUUAUUGAAGACUAACUACUGCGAAAGCAUUUGCCAAGGAUGUUUUCAUUAAUCAAGAACGAAAGUUAGGGGAUCGAAGACGAUCAGAUACCGUCGUAGUCUUAACCAUAAACUAUGCCGACUAGGGAUCGGAUGAUGUUUAAUUUUUAAUGUACUCA